AUUUGCUAUGAAAAAUCUAUUUACUUCUCAAAUGUGGUAUGUGGCCAUAUGUUUUCAAGUCGUGUAGGCCUAAUCAAUGAAAGGGAUACCACGGCGCCUCCCACUCGGUGCAUAAAAACGCCUAUUUCUUGCAUCUCAAAGACAGCGUUUAACGUUACUAACGUUAGUUUACUUGCCUAUGAUAUUCUGCUUGUGUUUCGGAUUGCCAAAUGUGUUAACUACAUUGCUGGGAGGAACCCAGAGUCUCAACACAUCCACCCUUUAAAGGACAUGGAGAAAGGCAAAGGGUAACAUCAUGCGCAGUACCGAGAUGAGAGGGCGAAGGAGCAUGUGAAGAUGUCCCUAAAGACUGCUAAAAGAUGGUGCUUUAGACUGUUCGCUGUUGUACUGUUCUUAGUCUCCUACUACUGUUCCCACGUCUUCCUCCAGAGUUAUGGAGGCACCAGCAAGUCUCCUCUGACUCCUAGCAAGUCACUGUGUGGUGGCUGGCUAAAGCAGAAGAAGUGGGAGAGCCUCAAUUUUAACAUUAGCAGACAAACAGAGCUCUUCUUCAAACUGGAUGAUUUCUUCUGGCGACAACAUCAGUCCACAUUAGCGUUGCCCUACGGUAUUAAAGGAAGUGAGUUACUGCUGCUGAGAGUGUUGGCCAUUAUUGCCAAUUACAAAAUGCCGGCCAGCAUUGAUCGUCUAGACUGCAGAACAUGUGCAGUCAUAGGAAAUGGGUUUGCCAUUAAAAACAGCUCCUUGGGGGCCGUCAUCAACGAGUAUGAUGUGGUGAUCCGGCUGAAUGACGCCCCCGUCAGAGGUUAUGAGGAUGAUGUGGGGAACAAGACCACUAUGCGUCUCUUCUACCCUGAGUCGGCCUCCUACAACCCCAGCAUGCACAACGACCCCGACACCCUCAUGGUCCUAGUGCCUUUCAAACAGCAGGACCUCCGCUGGCUCAAAGAGAUCCUGUACGACGAGAAGAGGGUGAGGAAAGGUUUCUGGAAGCCCCCUCCACAGAUCUGGCUGGGCAGGACCAGUCGCAUCCGGGUGCUGGACCCUCACUUCCUGCAUGGGACGGCCAGCAGUCUGCUACAAAUCCCACUUCAACCAAAGAGCAAACAGCGAGCCCCUGUGUCAGAGACUGAGGCUGUGCACUCUUUGGACUGCUGAAACGCAAACACAACUGGCUGGUGUCUGUGCCGAGGAAACAGUGGGAAAGAAGGGGUCCUGCAGGCGAUCAGCGGGGCAGCCCGAGCAUAGCACUCCUCCUCCAUCUGCAUGGCCCUACAGGCCAGAUGAGCUCAACCUUGGCUGGCUGUCUCCUGGCUGGCUGGGUGUCUGGCUGGAGGGCGUAGGCUGUUUACUCUGAGCGAGAACAGGAACAGGAACCAUGCCGAGCACUCGAUCCUGGCCCCGUUCCCCUCAUUCUUCUCUCCCCUGUCGCUUUCCUGGGUCACAGGGGUCCGACCGCAGCCCCACAUCCCCAAUGCCAAACUCUCACCCCUCCCCGUGGCUGCCAUGUUGGCAGUCAUCCAAAUGCCCUGUGAGAAGGCGGCAGCAGCAAGCAGUCCCCCUGGUUACAAUACAGAGGCUGACUGAGCUAAGGAGAGCUAGAGGGCUAACUAAUGCCCCUGUCAGUCAGACAGCCGCCGCCGCCACCCCCACCCCCUUCCAAAACAAAGGUCUGACUCCCACCAAUCUGGUCUGGUUGGCGAACAGCAGUGACAAUAUUCACCUCACCAAGGCUCCAUGGGCCAAUGUCCAAACUAUGCGAGGCACUACAGAAGUUGGAGCGCUCGGUGACCGACCACAUGAGACUAAUGCACACAGAAUGUCAGAUUUAGCCCAGCCAGGCUCAGGAAGAAAAGGCACUUACGCUAAGUGCAUUAGGAACCAAGUUUGGAGGAAUGUCCCGUACAGUGUGAUGAAGAGAGGAGAAGCACAGGUUUGAGAACUUGGCUGUUCCGGUCCAGUUUCUCUCUCCUUAGGGCACAAGUAAUGGCUCUCCAGAAACUGGUGCACCCCACUACAGGGAUCCUAGCCGUGUUCGUGGCACUCAACUACUGUGAUGUGGUCCACAUAGCUGGGUUUGGAUAUCCAGC